CCUACGGGAGGCAGCAGUGAGGAAUUUUGCGCAAUGGGGGAAACCCUGACGCAGCAACGCCGCGUGAGUGAUGAAGGCCUUCGGGUCGUAAAGCUCUGUCCUAAGGGAAGAAUACUGACGGUACCUUAGGAGGAAGCCCCGGCUAACUACGUGCCAGCAGCCGCGGUAAUACGUAGGGGGCUAGCGUUAUCCGGAAUUACUGGGCGUAAAGGGUGCGUAGGCGGCCAAAUAAGCCAGAGGUGAAAGGCUACGGCUUAACCGUAGUAAGCCUUUGGAACUGUAUGGCUUGAGUGCAGGAGAGGAGAGUGGAAUUCCUAGUGUAGCGGUGAAAUGCGUAGAUAUUAGGAGGAACACCAGUGGCGAAGGCGACUCUCUGGACUGCAACUGACGCUGAGGCACGAAAGCGUGGGGAGCGAACAGGAUUAGAUACCCUAGUAGUC
rnacentral:rRNA from 1 species